rnacentral:tRNA from 1 species
CAAGAAAUAGUUUAAAGAAAAUACUAGUUUUGGAUAUUAGAGAUGUAAUCUUUCUUGA